GAGUUCCGCAGUUUCGUUGGGUGGCGUAGGAGCAAAAAAUUAAUUUCAGUUGCUCUGAAAAUCUGCCAGCUGAUAAUUAUAGCUGGCACCUCCUAAUUCUUGUGUUAUGAGAGAGGAGCUGCACCUGGACUCAGGAGAGCCCGGAGAGCCGGAUCUUGUACAAAGGAGGCACAGCAAACUAGUAUGUGGCAGCUGUGAUUCCAGGUUGACUAACAGAUAAGUCUAUAUGAUACAGAGGGUCACCUGAUCAGAACUAUAAACUCUCAGAAGAAGAUAAGACUAAGC